rnacentral:rRNA from 1 species
UACAGAGGGGGCAAGCGUUGUUCGGAAUUACUGGGCGUAAAGGGCGCGUAGGCGGCCUGCUAAGUCGGACGUGAAAUCCCUGGGCUCAACCCAGGAACUGCGUCCGAUACUGGUUGGCUUGAAUCCGGGAGAGGGACGUGGAAUUCCAGGUGUAGCGGUGAAAUGCGUAGAUAUCUGGAGGAACACCGGUGGCGAAGGCGACGUCCUGGACCGGCAUUGACGCUGAGGCGCGAAAGCCAGGGGAGCAAACGGG